CGAUAGGCCUAACACAUGCAAGUCGAGGGGUAGCAUGGAUGUAGCAAUACAUUUGAUGACGACCGGCGCACGGGUGAGUAACGCGUAUGCAACCUACCUACUACAGGGGGAUAGCCCGAAGAAAUUCGGAUUAAUACCGCAUAAAACAGGGAUGCCGCAUGGCAAUAUUUGUUAAAGAUUCAUUGGUAGUAGAUGGGCAUGCGUUCCAUUAGCUUGUUGGUAAGGUAACGACUUACCAAGGCAACGAUGGAUAGGGGAACUGAGAGGUUUAUCCCCCACACUGGUACUGAGACACGGACCAGACUCCUACGGGAGGCAGCAGUGAGGAAUAUUGGUCAAUGGGCGAGAGCCUGAACCAGCCAAGUCGCGUGAAGGAUGACUGCCCUAUGGGUUGUAAACUUCUUUUGUACAGGGGUAAAAAACGGGACGUGUCCUGUCUUGCAAGUACUGUACGAAUAAGCAUCGGCUAACUCCGUGCCAGCAGCCGCGGUAAUAC
rnacentral:rRNA from 1 species